UUGGUUUCACCUGAAGACGGUGCGCUAACCCGCAAGGGAGGCAGCCGGCCACGGUAGGGUCAGCGACUGGGGUGAAGUCGUAACAAGGUAGCCGUAGGUGAACCUGCAGAAGGAUCA
rnacentral:rRNA from 1 species